rnacentral:rRNA from 1 species
UACGGAGGGGGCGAGCGUUAUUCGGAAUUAUUGGGCGUAAAGGGCGCGUAGGCGGCCCGGUAAGUCAAAGGUGAAAUCCCUCGGCUCAACUGAGGAACUGCCUUUGAAACUGAUCGGGCUUGAGGCCGGGAGGGGGUAGGCGGAAUUCCCAGUGUAGCGGUGAAAUGCGUAGAUAAUUGGGGAGGAACACCGGUGGCGAAGGCGGCUAGCCUGGACCGGUUGCUGACGC